rnacentral:snoRNA from 12 species
CGCCUCCUCACCCAGUGCAGCCCAGUGCUCCAUACUGGGUGUGGGUGGAGGUGGAGGAGGCAGAACAGAGCAGUGGUUUUACCCAUUCCACCCUCAGCUGCAGAGUAGCUCUGUGGUGGAAGAGAUCACUGCUACACAC